AUUGAACGCUGGCGGCAGGCCUACAACUUGCAAGUCGAACGAGUGGCGACCGGGUGGGUAAUUUCUGGGAACCUCCCUGAUGGAGGGGGAAACUUACUGGAACCGGUACCAAAUCCCGAUAACCGUCAGUUGUGCCCAAAGGGGUUUGGCUUGUUGGUGGGGUAACGGCUCACCAAGGCGACGAUCCCUAGCUGGUCUGAGAGGAUGACCAGCCACACUGGAACUGAGACACGGUCCAGACUCCUACGGGAGGCAGCAGUGGGGAAUAUUGGACAAUGGGCGCAAGCCUGAUGCAGCCAUGCCGCGUGUAUGAAGAAGGCCUUCGGGUUGUAAAGUACUUUCAGCGGGGAGGCGUUACCCGCAGAAGAAGCACCGGCUAACUCCGUGCCAGCAGCCGCGGUAAUAC
rnacentral:rRNA from 1 species